UAAACGUGGUCCUCAAUGAUC
rnacentral:piRNA from 1 species